rnacentral:lncRNA from 1 species
UUUUUCCUUUCCCAGACUCGUUUUCCUCCUUCCCCAUGGCCGCUCCUCACCUCUCCCAUCGCCUCAGUCAGAAAACGGCUAUGGACUGCCGAAAAAUGUUAAUUUUCGGUGGUUCCUUGCUCUAUGCCCCCAUCAGUCACUCAACCCCUUCCAAAUCCGUCUGAAAAAGGCGACUCUUGGAAGAAACUUUCUUCCCCUUCAUCAUUAUUCCUUCAGAUUUGGCUUCCCUAGAAUUCAAAAAUUCGAAUUCUUGAGGCCAAAUGGAGUUUACGAUUUGUCUAUAA